CUUCUUGAAUUUAUUUGAAGUCGUGCCUGCCCACUGAAAUAUUGAAGGGCCGCGGUAUUUUGACCGUGCAAAGGUAGCAUAAUCAUUAGUCUUUUAAUUGAAGGCUGGAAUGAAUGGUUUGACGAAACAAUAACUGUCUCGGAAUUAUUAGUUGAAUUUUAUUUUUGAGUCAAAAAGCUCAAAUGUGGAUAGGGGACGAGAAGACCCUAUAGAUCUUUAUAAGAUUUUUUAUUUUUGCCUUUUAGUUUUGGUUUAGGUUGAAGAUAUAGGAAUUUCUUAUUUUGUUGGGGUGACAAAUGAAUAUAUAAACUUCUUUUUGAUUUUACUUUGAUGAUUGGAUAUUUGAUCCUUUAUUAUGGAAUGAAGAUUAAGAUACCUUAGGGAUAACAGCGUAAUGUUAUUGGAAAGUUCUUAUUGAUAAUAAAGAUUGCGACCUCGAUGUUGGAUUAAGAAUAUAUUUGGGUGCAGAAGUUUAAAUUGUUGGUCUGUUC
rnacentral:rRNA from 1 species